CGGGGCAGUCAUCGCUGCUGUAAACAUCCUUGACUGGAAGCUGUGAGGUGUCAGCGGGGGCUUUCAGUCGGAUGUUUACAGCUGCAGGCUGCUGCA
ensembl:miRNA gga-mir-30e gga-mir-30e